AGGCUGAACUCUGAUUCUGAGAGGAAAGGCACUCCAGGGUUUGGAGUGGGCCACCUAAACUUGACCCUCAGGGCAGAUAUCCUAGAGUUCCAAGGAAGGCCCAGGCUGGGCCAAGGAGCCACCUCCAGAACUCUGGUGUGGUGACACAGAGCACGCAGGGUCCUUCCCCAACCCCAGCUCUGCUCUUGUCUUUCUCUGGGGGGAACACUUGGAACCUGGACUGCCCAGGAGGCUGGUAGUGGGUUGGGCAGAAGGAAUGCAGCCCUGGCUCUCAGCCCAGAGGCUUUGGGUCCGCCUGAGGCGGCCUUGGGGGGUGUACCUGGCUGGGCAGGGAGCUGUGUCUGAACUCUGAAUUCAGUGUGGCAAACUCUGCUCUAGCCUAGGG
rnacentral:lncRNA from 1 species